rnacentral:rRNA from 1 species
UACGUAGGGGGCUAGCGUUGUCCGGAAUCAUUGGGCGUAAAGAGCGUGUAGGCGGUCCGGUAAGUCCGCUGUGAAAGUCGGGGGCUCAACCCUCGAAUGCCGGUGGAUACUGUCGGGCUAGAGUGCGGAAGAGGCGAGUGGAAUUCCUGGUGUAGCGGUGAAAUGCGCAGAUAUCAGGAGGAACACCUAUUGCGAAGGCAGCUCGCUGGGACGUAACUGACGCUGAGACGCGAAAAGCGUGGGGGAGCAAACAGG